UUUAAGCAUAUAAGUAAGCGGAGGAUAAGAAACUAAAUAGGAUUCCCUUAGUAAUGGCGAAUGAACAGGGAUGAGCUCAAUAUGGAAAUUGCGGCCUCUGGCUGUGAAUUGUAAUCUCAAGAUGUAUUGCUAACGGGGGCGUGGGUGUAAGCCUCUUGGAAAAGAGAACCAUAGAGGGUGAGAAUCCCGUCUGUCAUCCACAGUCCUCCGUGCACGGCGUACGUUCUUAGAGUCACGUUCCUCGGGAUUGGAGCGCAAACUGGGUGGUAAGUUUCAUCUCAAGCUGAAUAUGGGUUCGAAACCGAUAGCAAACAAGUACCAUGAGGGAAAGAUGAAAAGGACUUUGAAAAGAGAGUUAAAAGUGCCUGAACUUGCUGAAAGGAAAGCGGAUGGAACCAGUGUUGCUUGGUGAGAUUGUUGCGCGCUAUGGUGAUUCUCGCUGCGGCAGCGUAAGCGUCGCUGUGGGUUGUAUCCUGUUGCGUGUGAUGCUUCUUACCUUGUGCGUCAUCGUCAGUUUGCGGGCGGGGAUAACCCUUGAGACCUGGUAGCA
rnacentral:rRNA from 1 species